rnacentral:rRNA from 1 species
AGUGAACGCUGGCGGUAGGCCUAACACAUGCAAGUCGAACGGCAGCACAGUAAGAGCUUGCUCUUACGGGUGGCGAGUGGCGGACGGGUGAGGAAUACAUCGGAAUCUACUUUUUCGUGGGGGAUAACGUAGGGAAACUUACGCUAAUACCGCAUACGACCUACGGGUGAAAGCAGGGGAUCUUCGGACCUUGCGCGAUUGAAUGAGCCGAUGUCGGAUUAGCUAGUUGGCGGGGUAAAGGCCCACCAAGGCGACGAUCCGUAGCUGGUCUGACAGGAUGAUCAGCCACACUGGAACUGAGACACGGUCCAGACUCCUACGGGAGGCAGCAGUGGGGAAUAUUGGACAAUGGGCGCAAGCCUGAUCCAGCCAUACCGCGUGGGUGAAGAAGGCCUUCGGGUUGUAAAGCCCUUUUGUUGGGAAAGAAAAGCAGCAGGUUAAUACCCCGCUGUUCUGACGGUACCCAAAGAAUAAGCACCGGCUAACUUCGUG